AAUGAACGCUGGCGGCAUGCCUAACACAUGCAAGUCGAUCGAAGGCUUCGGCCUUAGUGGCGCACGGGUGCGUAACGCGUGGGAAUCUGCCCUUGGGUUCGGAAUAACAGUUAGAAAUGACUGCUAAUACCGGAUGAUGUCGUAAGACCAAAGAUUUAUCGCCCAAGGAUGAGCCCGCGUAGGAUUAGCUAGUUGGUGGGGUAAAGGCCUACCAAGGCGACGAUCCUUAGCUGGUCUGAGAGGAUGAUCAGCCACACUGGGACUGAGACACGGCCCAGACUCCUACGGGAGGCAGCAGUGGGGAAUAUUGGACAAUGGGCGAAAGCCUGAUCCAGCAAUGCCGCGUGAGUGAUGAAGGCCUUAGGGUUGUAAAGCUCUUUUACCCGGGAUGAUAAUGACAGUACCGGGAGAAUAAGCUCCGGCUAACUUCGUG
rnacentral:rRNA from 1 species